CAACAAACAUGAGACGUCCAAAGGACGUUCAGAUUAUGUCCAUAUCGGGUCGGUCGGUCCAGAACCUAAUCUGCACCUAAUCUGCACGUCUAAACGACGUGCAGAUCCAGUACAGUAUUUGGACGUCUGACUACGACGUCUUUUGGACGUUGAUAUGCAGUUCAAUAUUUGAGGGUCCGUUCUUGGACGUCAUUUAGACGUUCAAAACAGGUUCAGAAAAAAAAUAUAAAAACUUAUGCAAUAAAAACGACAAAUGAGUUCUGAUUCAAAACAAUGUAACAUGACGUUUUUUUUUUUGUGAAAAUUCUUUAAGGUGAUAAAAUAUGUUAUAUUUUUAAGAAUGAAUGUUCACAACGCGUGCCAAAAUCUACUGCAUUUCUUUUGUGUAAUUUGCAAAUUAAACCAAAUUCAAGUGUGAUUUACAAAAAUAAUCAACAUUGCAAUUUUAAGUUUAACCACAAGGGUGUGUAAAAGCUUAGGUGGCGAGGUGGCGCGUGAUCUUUUUUUGCACGUGAUCAACAGACGUAAUUAAGCGAGCCCCAGCCGUAAACGUACUCAACGGAUUCAACCUGCUGUGAACAGGAGAACAGGACCUACAUACACCCCAAAGGCUCUUUUCAGAGCCAUUUGACCAAGCAUCUUUGUACAUGCCGGUUUUCCUUCAGUAGUGCCAGUUUUCCUAAGAUUUUACCUCGUCCUCCACUGCCUCCAGUAAUUCCUGGUUUUAAGGUUAGUCAUUUUUUUUUGUUUUCAGUGCCAUUCGUCUCAACCCUGACUUCCUAAAUAGUCUAAAUUUGAAUACAAAAAUCUGGGCUUGAUUUGGUUUUUCUGAAGGUGUUUAAAAGAUUUACUGUUUUUGAUCCUCUGGGUCUAAAUGACCCUACAAUGUGAAUAAGACAAGUUACAAUUUUUUAAUAGUUUAAUUUGUCGAAAAAAGAAAUGCAUCCAAUAUUAAUGUGAAAAUAAUAUACAUGUACAAAUCCCCGGUUCUAGAGAACAAACAUACAUACUUUCUUAAGCACACACAAACACACAAGUAGAGU